UACGUAGGGCGCAAGCGUUAUCCGGAAUUAUUGGGCGUAAAGAGCUCGUAGGCGGUUUGUCGCGUCUGCCGUGAAAGUCCGGGGCUCAACUCCGGAUCUGCGGUGGGUACGGGCAGACUAGAGUGAUGUAGGGGAGACUGGAAUUCCUGGUGUAGCGGUGAAAUGCGUAGAUAUCAGGAGGAACACCGGUGGCGAAGGCGGGUCUCUGGGCAUUGACCUGACGCUGAGGAGCGAAAGCGUGGGGAGCAAACAGG
rnacentral:rRNA from 1 species